rnacentral:rRNA from 1 species
GACUACAGGGGUAUCUAAUCCUGUUUGCUCCCCACGCUUUCGUGCCUGAGCGUCAGUCUUCGUCCAGGGGGCCGCCUUCGCCACCGGUAUUCCUCCAGAUCUCUACGCAUUUCACCGCUACACCUGGAAUUCUACCCCCCUCUACGAGACUCUAGCUUGCCAGUUCGAAAUGACCAUCCCAGGUUGAGCCCGGGGCUUUCACAUCUCGCUUAACAAACCGCCUGCGCACGCUUUACGCCCAGUAAUUCCGAUUAACGCUCGCACCCUCCGUAUUACCGCGGCUGCUGGCACGGAGUUAGCCGGUGCUUCUUCUGUCAGUAACGUCAAUGCAAUGAGGUAUUAACUCAUUGCCCUUCCUCCUGACUGAAAGUGCUUUACAACCCGAAGGCCUUCUUCACACACGCGGCAUGGCUGCAUCAGGGUUUCCCCCAUUGUGCAAUAUUCCCCACUGCAGCCGCCCGUAGG